rnacentral:ncRNA from 1 species
CACCAGGGCACGGGUGACGGAAAAUUAGGGUGUUGGUCGAUUAAGACAGCAGGACGGUGGUCAUGGAAGCCGAAAUCCGCUAAGGAGUGUGUAUCAACUCACCUGCCGAAUUAACUAGCCCCGAAAAUGGAUGGCUCUUAAGCGCGCGACCUACACCCGGCCGUCGGGGCAAGUGCCAGGCCCCGAUG